rnacentral:rRNA from 1 species
UACGUAGGGUGCAAGCGUUGUCCGGAAUUAUUGGGCGUAAAGAGCUCGUAGGCGGUCUGUCGCGUCUGCUGUGAAAACUCGGGGCUUAACCCCGGGCCUGCAGUGGGUACGGGCAGACUAGAGUGCGGUAGGGGAGACUGGAAUUCCUGGUGUAGCGGUGGAAUGCGCAGAUAUCAGGAGGAACACCGGUGGCGAAGGCGGGUCUCUGGGCCAUUACUGACGCUGAGGAGCGAAAGCGUGGGGAGCGAACAGG